CUUGGUCAUUUAGAGGAAGUAAAAGUCGUAACAAGGUCUCCGUUGGUGAACCAGCGGAGGGAUCAUUACCGAGUUUACAACUCCCAAACCCAAUGUGAACGUUACCAAACUGUUGCCUCGGCGGGAUCUUCUGCCCCGGGUGCGUCGCAGCCCCGGACCAAGGCGCCCGCCGGAGGAAUCAACCAAAACUCUUAUUGUAUACCCCCUCGCGGGUUUUUUUUAUAAUCUGAGCCUUCUCGGCGCCUCUCGUAGGCGUUUCGAAAAUGAAUCAAAACUUUCAACAACGGAUCUCUUGGUUCUGGCAUCGAUGAAGAACGCAGCGAAAUGCGAUAAGUAAUGUGAAUUGCAGAAUUCAGUGAAUCAUCGAAUCUUUGAACGCACAUUGCGCCCGCCAGUAUUCGGCGGGCAUGCCUGUCCGAGCGUCAUUUCAACCCUCGAACCCCUCCGGGGGGUCGGCGUUGGGGAUCGGCCUUCCUUCACGGGGGCCGUCUCCGAAAUACAGUGGCGGUCUCGCCGCAGCCUCUCCUGCGCAGUAGUUUGCACACUCGCAUCGGGAGCGCGGCGCGUCCACAGCCGUUAAACACCCAACUUUCUGAAAUGUUGACCUCGGAUCAGGUAGGAAUACCCGCUGAACUUAAGCAUAUCAAUAAGCGGAGGA
rnacentral:rRNA from 1 species